ensembl:lncRNA
CGCUGAGUCAGCUGCAGGGGCACAGGUGAACGCAAUUUCACCUGAGUGACCGGAAGGGAUGGAGCUUGGCUCCACCCCUCCUAGACCCCAUUUAAGGGCUGACUCCCAAGGAGGAAAUAUUUCUAUCUUGAGAUCUCCCCUCUUGGAGUUCUUCUGUGAGCCCAGGACAUGGCUACUUGGCCCCUUCACUGCGAGAUGCCUUGACUCUGUACAACACUGCUUAGCAGUAGCUAUAAGCAUUGCUGUUACCAGCAUUGUUUUUCUCCUAGAACCAAGACAUACUCUCAUACCAAACACUCUGAAGAAAGCAAUUCCAUCACAGCUGAAACUAAAACAGCUAACAAGGACAUGAGACCCAGUGAAGUGCAGAAUACCACCUCUCUGCUACUUGUGAUGAAGAGCUAUCAUGUCUGCAACCAUAACAGGCAUUCAGUUUGAUACCUCAAGAGUUGGUUUUAAGUGGAUGGAUACCUAACUGUUUGCAACCUAGACAUGAUUCAUCCUCUUGUUCCAACUGAAGAGGAACAGUCACUUUUAGAAUACCAGUCUGCAUUCUCAAGAUGCUUAAAGCAAAACUGAUGAAUGACACUGCCUAUUCUUCUCUCUUAACUACAACAGGAAGUUGGGUACUGCUGAGGUAGAGACAUCUAUGCUACAAACUUUAGCUGAGGGGAAUCCCACCCAUAUCCUUCUGUCUAUUGAUGUGGCUAGGAAAUUGUUUUCUUCUAUCCAGCCUGCAGAAACUGUCAGGCAUUCUGUCUGUACACAUUAACCAUGUACUAGGUUUGGGAUUUACUAAUGCUUGUAAGCAUGACUAAGAGAAGACUGAAGUGUCGUAGUUUACUAUGAGUGAAAGUUUGAACGAGUGUGCAGAAGUGCCUGUGGUGCCUGAAAUCUCCAUCCUCAGGGAAAAACAAAGGUUUCAUUUUAUGUUCAACCAGCAACUGACUUUUCAAAAUCAAAUUAAUUCAAUGCAAAUGACAAAAAAGUCUGACCACGGGGAACAUGCUUGUUAGAGUACCUGUGUUUUAGUGGAGUGGCUGAGAGCUCUUUUUCAUGCUACUGUGUUGACCGUCCUCAUGCUCCUGAAGUCAUAUGUUUUUAUCCACUCUGAUGGCAGGCUUCAGAAUUGUUGAUCUGGCAUGAGAAUGUACUGAAUACCAUCUUUUGAAAUGUUCGCAUCAUAUACUGCAGCUUUUUUGUUUUGUUUAGGGUUUCUUUCCCCCCACUAAUGGGAUUGUGGUGCCGGUACUGAUUUAUCUUCAUUCCUCAUCCAAAUUAACAACUAAGGCCUACACUGUAAAAUUCAUUUACAAAUUUCUGUGAAUUUUGCAUAACUGAAAUUGUAGAGGCAUUCAAUUAAACUAAUAAUGUUACC